GCUUUACUGUAGUUUGAUAUUGAAAUUGAGCUUUAUUUGUGCAGUAUAAGUGGGAGGNNNNNUUUUUUGUAUUUAAAAUAGAUUNNNACCGUCAGUGAGAUACCACUCUAAUUUUGUUAAAUUUCUUACUUUNNAUUAUAAUCAUAAUAAAAAACAGUUUCAAAUGGUCAGUUUGACUGGGGCGGUCGCCUCCUAAACAGUAACGGAGGCGUACAAAGGUUUUCUCUGAACGUGUAGAAAUCGUAUCUAGAGUAUAAAGGCAUAAGAAAGCUUGACUGCGAGACUGACACGUCAAGCAGGGACGAAAGUCGGUCUUAGUGAUCUGACAGUACUA
rnacentral:rRNA from 1 species